UACAGAGGGGGCAAGCGUUGUUCGGAAUUACUGGGCGUAAAGGGCGCGUAGGCGGCCUGCUAAGUCGAACGUGAAAUCCCUGGGCUCAACCCAGGAACUGCGUCCGAUACUGGUUGGCUUGAAUCCGGGAGAGGGAUGUGGAAUUCCAGGUGUAGCGGUGAAAUGCGUAGAUAUCGUGAGGAAGACCAGUGGCGAAGGCGGGUCUCUGGACAGUUCCUGACACUGAGGCACGAAGGCCAGGGGAGCAAACGGG
rnacentral:rRNA from 1 species